AACGAACGCUGGCGGCAUGCCUAACACAUGCAAGUCGAACGAGACCUUCGGGUCUAGUGGCGCACGGGUGCGUAGCGCGUGGGAACCUGCCCUUAGGUUCGGAAUAACUCCCCGAAAGGGGUUCUAAUACCGGAUAAUGUCUUCGGACCAAAGAUUUAUCGCCUUUGGAUGGGCCCGCGUUGGAUUAGCUAGUUGGUAGGGUAAAAGCCUAACAAGGAGAAGAUCCAUAGCUGGUCUGAGAGGAUGAUCAGCCACACUGGGACUGAGACACGGCCCAGACUCCUACGGGAGGCAGCAGUGGGGAAUAUUGGAAAAUGGGAGAAAGCCUGAUCGAGCAAUGCCGCGUGAGUGAUGAAGGUAUUAGGGUUGUAAAGCUCUUUUAGCCGGGAUGAUAAUGACAGUACCGGGAGAAUAAGCUCCGGCUAACUCCGUG
rnacentral:rRNA from 1 species